AAUGAACAACUGCUGGACAAGCCAAGGCCUGAUUCGUAACUCAUAUAUGAACAACUGCUGGACAAGCCAAGGCAAGGUAGCUGACUCACUCACAUCUGAACAACUGCUGGACAAGCCAAGGCCUGAUUCGUAACUCAUAUAUGAACAACUGCUGGACAAGCCAAGGCAAGGUAGCUGACUCACAUAUGAA